UUUAUCAGCAUUGGAUUCUUUCUCUCCACUCUGAACAAACUUUUCCACCCUUUCAGCACUCACGCUACCUCACAUGCUCCCUUCCCAUCACUCACAACCUCUAUCAUCAGUAAACGAAAAGAAGGAAAACACUUAUUUUCUGCUUUCAAAAGGCAACCCAAAAUCUUUUCAUCUUUCCAACACACAACAACAAAUUCACCUUUCUCUUCUUUUCACACAAAUCAGCAGCCACCUAUCACAAUCACUCUUGAUCUCUCCCUCACGCUACCUCACAUUUUCUCAUCACCAUAAACCCAUUCCAACCUUCAAUUUGCUUUGAACAUCCCUUCUCUCUCCAUUCACAGGGAAGAAAAAACGGUUCACUCUUGUUACACAACCGCCAUCUUCCUCGACACCACACUAACACCUCAUUUUCGCUUCCGCCGAAACAACCUAGAAUAACCGCCGUGAAUCGCCACCACUACCACUACGUCGCCGCAUCAUCCCUCAACCACCGUCAAUUUUGAACCAUCCGCCAUCUUCCUCAUAUAUUCCGGCGAUAAAUUCCAGACCUCAUCGCCGUGUCAAUAACCGAACUCCUUCACACUCAGGCGAAUCCACCUCUGUUCACAGACAUCGCCGCCGCCACGGUUUGCUCUUCUAAAUUCACCACAACCAACCGUGACGCAGAUUCUCUCUUCCCCAACAGGCAAAACCAAGCAACAAAACUUCCAACUCCGCAGCAACAACAAACGACAGCAGUGACACCGCUUCGUUGUAAUGUCCAGUUGGUGUUCUGUUUGGAGAAGUGGCUCUCAUGGGCAAGGCUUUUGUUUAUUGUUAUAUCCAAUAUUUUUUAAUGUUAUCCUCUUUACGUUCCGCUAAUCGCAUCAUGUUGAUUCCAUAGACAUAUUAAACUUCAUAUUGAGUUGUAUUGAAGCAGUUUGGUAUUGAUUGCAAUGAAUUUGUUACAUGUUUAAUGCUAUCAUUUUCUUGCUGUGGGAUUAAAGUGGUUUAGCGUUACGGUAACAGUUUGUGUUGCGUUUUCCUUGA